rnacentral:rRNA from 1 species
UACAGAGGGGGCAAGCGUUGUUCGGAAUUACUGGGCGUAAAGGGCGCGUAGGCGGCCUGCUAAGUCGAACGUGAAAUCCCUGGGCUCAACCCAGGAACUGCGUCCGAUACUGGUUGGCUUGAAUCCGGGAGAGGGAUGCGGAAUUCCAGGUGUAGCGGUGAAAUGCGUAGAUAUCUGGAGGAACACCGGUGGCGAAGGCGGCAGCCUGGACCGGCAUUGACGCUGAGGCGCGAAAGCCAGGGGAGCAAACGGG